rnacentral:rRNA from 1 species
AGUGGCGGACGGGUGAGUAACACGUAAGAAUUUACCUUUAGGAGGGGGACAACAACUGGAAACGGUUGCUAAUACCCCAUAUGCUUUCGAGUGAAAUGGAUUUUUCCCCCUAGAGAGAAGCUUGCGGCUGAUUAGCUUGUUGGUGAGGUAAUGGCUCACCAAGGCGACGAUCAGUAUCUGGUUUGAGAGGAUGAUCAGACACACUGGAACUGAGACACGGUCCAGACUCCUACGGGAGGCAGCAGCGGGGAAUUUUCCGCAAUGGGCGAAAGCCUGACGGAGCAAUACCGCGUGAGGGAUGACGGCCUAUGGGUUGUAAACCUCUUUUUUCAGGGAGGAACAAAAUGACGUGUACCUGAAGAAUAAGCAUCGGCUAACUCCGUGCCAGCAGCCGCGGUAAGACGGGGGAUGCAAGUGUUAUCCGGAAUCACUGGGCGUAAAGCGUCUGUAGGUGGUUUGAUAAGUCAACUGUUAAAUCUUGAGGCCCAACCUCAAAAUCGCAGUCGAAACUAUUAGACUAGAGUAUAGUAGGGGUAAAGGGAAUUUCCAGUGGAGCGGUGAAAUGCGUAGAUAUUGGAAAGAACACCGAUGGCGAAGGCACUUUACUGGGCUAUUACUAACACUCAGAGACGAAAGCUAGGGUAGCAAAUGGGAUUAGAUACCCCAGUAGUCCUAGCCGUAAACAAUGGAUACUAGA